GUACUCGCUUCAGCAGUACGUAUAAUAAAAUUGGAACGAUACAGAGAAGUUUAAGAUGGCCCCCAAGUAAAGGUAGAGAUAGUCAAUUAUAUUAAAGAAAUAAAAAUAU